AGCAGCCGCGGUAAUUCCAGCUCCAAUAGCGUAUAUUAAAGUUGUUGCAGUUAAAAAGCUCGUAGUUGAAUUUCGAGACCGGUUUAUUGGUCGUGCUUUUGUACGUACUGGUAUUAUUGGUUUCUCCUUUCUGACGAAUCUUAAUGCCAUUAAUUUGGUGUUUUGGGGAAUCAGGACUGUUACUUUGAAAAAAUUAGAGUGUUUAAAGCAGGCUCACGCUCGAAUACAUUAGCAUGGAAUAACGAAAUAGGACGUUUGAUUUUAUUUUGUUGGUUUCUAGGAUCGACGUAAUGAUUAAUAGGGAUAGUUGGGGGCAUUAGUAUUCAAUUGUCAGAGGUGAAAUUCUUGGAUUUAUUGAAGACUAACUACUGCGAAAGCAUUUGCCAAGGAUGUUUUCAUUAAUCAAGAACGAAAGUUAGGGGAUCGAAGACGAUCAGAUACCGUCGUAGUCUUAACCAUAAACUAUGCCGACUAGGGAUCGGAUGAUGUAAUUUUUAAUGACUCAUUCGGCGCCUUACGG
rnacentral:rRNA from 1 species